GUGUCUCAAAUAUUUGGUAAUAUCGAUGAAACAGUGCAGCCAAUGCAAAGCUAUGUCAAAUUUCAUGAACUCCCUAAGUAGUUGGAUAUUAUGACAUUGUUAUGAAACUGCAAAUUCCAUGUUGUCUUAAGCUGUUUUCCUUUAUUACAAUUUAUCAUAUCUUAGAUCAGGAAUCUUAUGUUUAUUUACUUUUGAUAAAUUGCUACUUUCAUUAGGUAUGUUUCUGAGAAGGGCUAGACUUUUAAUGUCAAUGCAUACCUUGAGAACCGUCCUGUGCCUGUUUUGCCUGCUAUAUAAUUGUUUUGAAUUUAGACUAAAGUUGUAGGGAUUAUUUUUUUUUAGCUUUAUUUGAUCUGGAU
rnacentral:lncRNA from 1 species